GGGGGAGGAAAUGGAGUGUCACCUUGAAACACUUUAGCCAUAAAAUAAUCACCUCCACCAUCAUCACCAUCAUCAUCAUCACCAUCACCAUCACCUCCACUCAUUUGGGGUUUUCAAUACCCUAAUACCACCACCACCAUCACCACUAUCCUCAUCAACAUCACACGACCGGACUCACAUCUCACUCAUCAUCACCAUCACCAUCAUCAUCACUAUCACCACUUACACCACCACCACUAACAUCCUCUUUUGUUGCGCCAUGUUGCGUCAUCACCACAACUAUUUAUACCACUGCCCUUGACAACAACCACCACCACCACCACCAUCAUCAUCAUUAUCAUCAUCAUUAUUUAUAGAUAUUCCCCACAGUAUCACCAUCUUCAUCAUCAUAUUCAUCAGCACUAUCAAAACACUAGCAUAUCAUCAUCAUCAUUAUGGGCGGAUAUUUCUCACACUUCACCAUCGUCAUCACCAAUCACCAUCACCACCACCACUGACUUCAUCACCAUCAACAUCAUCGUCUUCACCAUCAUGUUUUCAAAGGGUUAUUUCACACACUACUAACAUCCUCAUAAUCGUCAUCACCAUCACCACCACGACAAACAACAGUGACUUCAGAACCAUCACCAUCACCAUCAACAUCAACAUCACCAUUACACGACAAAAUAUCUUCAGCCUUAUUUUUUUUUUCCCCUCCAUCCGCUCCUUGUUUUCUCUCUCUCUCUCUCUCUCUCUCUCUCUCUCUCUCUCUCUCUCUCUCUCUCUCUCUCUCUCUCUCUCUCUCGUAACUGGUUCAGACCGCCAAGACAAAAACAACAACAAUAAUAAAAAUAACAAUAAUACCACUAUAAUAUUUUUUUCAACAUACAUAUUUUUUUUUUCUCUCACUUCUGUUCUUUCACAAACUUAAAACUCACAUUCAUUCACCCACAAACACACUUUCUAUGAUUACUACUUAUUUUCCUCUCUCUCUCUCUCUCUCUCUCUCUCUCUCUCUCUCUCUCUCUCUCUCUCCUCCAUUCCUCGGUGCGUUUCUUCCAUUCUCCUUCUUCGCUUACUCCGUCAAUCCUAUUUCUGUCUCUCCAUUCAAGUCUAUUUUCGUUCCUCCUCCGAUUUAUUGAUUUCCUCCUUCCCUUCAGUCUUCGUAAUGCUAAGUUGAACGCGUCUUUUCGCUCUUACUGUUUCGCAUUUCUGUUUAUUUCUGCUCAAUUCUUCUUUUUCUUCUCAGUCUGGUGUAUGUUUUUUUUCUUUCUCUCCCUUCUUCGUGUUUUAAAUUUCUCUAUUGUUGUCAAGUUCUUCCUCUAUCCAGUGGUUUAUUUUUUUCUUUCUCCAUUUUUUGUUGUUCCUUAUUCCUUCAUUCGAAGUGUCCUUAAUCAAUUCUUCUUUUUCUUUUCAGUCUGUGUAUGUUUUUCUUUCUCUCCCUUCUUCGUGUUCUAAAGUUUUCCAUUGUCGUCUAGUUCUUCCUCUGUGCAGUGUAGUUUAUUUUUUUCUUUCUCCAUUUUUUAUUUUUCCUUAUUCCUUCGUUCCAACCUGUCCCUCAUUCGUCUAUUUUUGAUCCCUGUCUAGUUAAUCGACCUUCCUUCUUUCCCUUCUUCUAUAUUCAUUCUUUCAAACCAUCCCUCAUUCCAGUUUAGUCCUUCCUCUUUUCUCUCUAAUAAUAUGUCCGCCUCAUUCUCUUCUUCCGUCCUCUACCUCUUCCUCCUCCUCUCUUUACUCCGUGUCUCUCCUCUUCCCUUCUUUCUUUGCUUCCUGGUUCUUCUUCUUUCCUUCUUCAUUCUCCUCCUCUUCCUCUCUUUACUCUGUUGUCUCUCCUAUAUCUUUCUUUCUUAUGGCUAUUUUUGUUUCUUUUUAUAUAUAUUUAUCUUACAUUUUCUUUAUAAUUUCUCUUCUCUCUCUACAGUUAAUCUUUCUAACUAUCUUUCAUUUCAGUCUAGUCCCCCAUCUUCUCUUUCUAGUAAUACAUCUGACUAUUCUCUUCUUUCGUCUGUAUUUCUUCUUUCUAACUAUCCUUCAUCAUUCCAGUCAAGUCCUUUCUCUUCUCUUUCUAGUAGUAAAUUUGCCUUCAUUUUCUUCUUUCGUCUUCUAUCUUCUUUUAUCAGGUCCAAUUUUGUCUAUUUUCGUCAUGCUUUCUUCGUCUUGAACCACUUACAUUGCUUAUUAUAGUUUUUUUUCUUUCUCCUCGCUCCUUAUCUUCUCCCUUUCCGGGCUCUCUCUCUCUCUCUCUCUCUCUCUCUCUCUCUCUCUCUCUCUCUCUCUCUCUCUCUCUCUCUCUCUCUUUCCUGUCUAAAACGUUUGUCCUAUUCUCCUUUCCCUUUUUUUAAGUUUCAUAAUUUAUUCCUUCCCGUCACUUAUUUCCUACUUUCUCUUUUUUAUGUGGAUUUAUUUUUUGUUAUUUUUACGAUCGUUUUCGACACCUUCCUUUUUUCAACAUUUUCCUAGAGUGUCUUCAGCUCAUAUAGUCCUUUCUUGUAUAUUUAUUGGUCUUUUUUCUAUUUUCCUAACUUCCUUUCCUUCCUUUGGUAUGUUCAAAAUUCUUCUUCCCUCUUCCACAUUCUCCCUUUCUUCCAUUAUUCCUCCCUCAACAUUUCUUUCUGUAACACAUUUGCCUUUUCCUUUUCCCACUUUUCCUCCCUUUUCCCUUCCAUUUCCCUCUUUGGUAUGUUCAGAAGUCUCCCUCCCUUUCCCACAUUCUCCCUUCCAUUAUUCCUCCUUCAACACUUCUUUCUAUAACACAUUUGCCUCUCCCUUUUCCCAUCUUCCUUCCCUCUUCCCUUCCAUUUCCCUCUUUGGUAUGUUCAGAAGUCUCCCUCCCUUUCCCACAUUCUUUCCUAAUUCCCUUUAUUCCUCCCUCGACACUUUCCCUCCCAUGACAUAUUUAUUACUUUUCCCCUUUCCCAGCUUCCUUCCCUUUUAUCUCCCUUUUUUUGUAUGAUUUAAAAGCCUGCCUUCCUUUCCCACAAUUUCUUUCCUUGUUCCUCCAUUAACAGUUUGCCUUUCACACCCUUCCAUUCAUCCUUUUUUUUGUGUAAGUUAUGCCUUUCCUUCCUUCAGUCCUGCUUCUGGUUUUCUUUUUGGCGGUAUAUUUAUUUAUUAUUCCUCUAUUUACAGUUUCCCUUCUUUAACAUUUGCCUUUCACACCCUUCCAUUUAUCCUUUUGUUUACAUGAGUUAUGCCUUUCCUUCCUUCAGUCCUGCUUCCCGUUUUCUUUAUGGUGGUGUGUUUAUUUGUCCUUCCUCCAUUUACAGUUUCCCUUCUUUAACAUUCGCCUUUCACACCCUUCCAUUUCUCCUCUUUUGUGUGUGUUUAUAAGUUCUGCCUUUCCUUCCUUCAAUCCUUCCUCUCGCUUCCUCUUCGGCGGUAUGUUUAUUUGUCCUUCCUCCAUUCUUCACGUCCCUUCCCUCCAACAAGCCUCUCUUUAUGCUUUCCUUCCUUGUUUGUUUAUCUCCCUUUCCCUCCAUCCACCACACACGCCCUUCCUCUCUACAUUUUCCCUUAAUUUUCCCCAUUCACGCCCUUCCUCUCCCUUGCCCCCCUCCUCCUCCCUAUCCUCACGUUCCCUCACUCCCUGUAGUCUUCCCUUACGUUCUCCUUUCCUUUCUAGUCUUCUUCCUAGCCAUAUAAGGAAAGUCUCCAACGUUUCAAUUUGCAUUCUCUAAACAAGGUGAUGGGUGAGACGAAAGGAGACUUGGGUUUAUAAAAGGGUGGAGGGAUGUAAUAUGGGUGGCGUUGAUAGGGUUCUGUGUUAAGAAGGCAGGGAAGGGCAAGGUAGGGUAGGGUAGGGCAAGGUAGGGUAGGGUAGCAAGGUAGGGUAGGGUAGGGCAAGGCAGGUUUAGGGUAGGACAAGGUAGGGUAGGGUUGGGCAAGGUAGGGUAGGGUUGGGCAAGGCAGGUUUAGGGUAGGGCAAGGUAGGGUAGGGUUAAUUUCGUGAUUCAGAGAGGUAAUGUCAAUGAGGUUCUGGAGGCAAGAAAGCAGGGUAGGGCAAGGCAGGUUUAGGGUAGGACAAGAUAGGGUAGGGUAGGGCAAGGCAGGUUUAGGGUAGGGCAAGGCAGGUUUAGGGUAGGGUUAAGUUCGUGAUUCAGAGAGGUGAUGUCAAUGAGCUUCUGGUGUUAAGAGGGCAGGGUAGGACACGUAGUAAUGGGUUUAAGUUUGUAAUUCUGAUUCAACAAAGAUAAAGUUAAAACACUCUAAUUGGUGCUUUCUUUUAUUAAUGGCGUGGUGGAUGAGUGAGUGCUUGUCAGUCGCGCGGUGAGUGGCAAUACCAUAGAUACAUUCAGGAAGAGGUUUGAUAGAUUCACGGAUAGGGAGGACAAGACAAGGACAAGACGCCUCCCCACCCGAAAUUGACCUCUCUUCUGGCUACUCUUUACCUUUGUCUUUUAUGGGAGCGGCGAGUAGCGGACUUUUUUUUUUUGUACUCUUUUUGUUGCCCUUGAGCCGUGACCUUUAAUGUAAAAAAAAGUGGAAAAGGGUGGAAUGGGGAAUAGGAAAGGAAGGGGAAGGUGGAAUUGUAGGAAAGGGGUGGAAGAGGGAGCAUGGAAGAGCAGGGCAUGGGUAAUGGGAAGCGAAGGUGGAUUGUAGGAACGGGAAGUGGAAGGGGGAGGAAUGGGAAGGGAAGGUGGAUUGUAGGAACAGAAAGUGGAAGGGUGAGGAAUGGGAAGGAACGGGAAGUGGAAGGGGAAGGGAGGAAUGGGAAGGAAAGGUGGAUUGUAGGAAAGGGAAGUGGAAGGGGGAGGAAUGGGAAGGGAAGGUGGAUUGUAGGAACGGGAAGUGGAAGGGGGAGGAAUGGGAAGGGAAGGUGGAUUGUAGGAACGGGAAGUGGAAGGGGGAGGAAUGGGAAGGGAAGGUGGAUUGUAGGAACGGGAAGUGGAAGGGGGAGGAAUGGGAAGGGAAGGGGGCUCAGGUUUACAGGAGAGUAUCAGGACACCUCUUCCCCCGAAAUUGACCUCUCUUUUGAACAAUUCUCGACUCUUUCUUUUU